CGAUGAGGAGCGAUAGCAUGCGAAGCGAACAGGUUUAGAUACCCUGGUAGUCCAUGCCGUAAACGGUGGGCAAUAGGUGUGGGGGACAUUCCACGUUUUCCGCGCCGUAGCUAACGCAUUAAGUGCCCCGCCUGGGGAGUACGGCCGCAAGGCUAAAACUCAAAGGAAUUGACGGGGGCCCGCACAAGCGGCGGAGCAUGCGGAUUAAUUCGAUGCAACGCGAAGAACCUUACCAAGGCUUGACAUGAACCGGUAAUACCUGGAAACAGGUGCCCCGCUUGCGGUCGGUUUACAGGUGGUGCAUGGUUGUCGUCAGCUCGUGUCGUGAGAUGUUGGGUUAAGUCCCGCAACGAGCGCAACCCUCGUUCUAUGUUGCCAGCGCGUUAUGGCGGGGACUCAUAGGAGACUGCCGGGGUCAACUCGGAGGAAGGUGGGGACGACGUCAAAUCAUCAUGCCCCUUAUGUCUUGGGCUUCACGCAUGCUACAAUGGCCGGUACAAAGGGUUGCGAUACUGUGAGGUGGAGCUAAUCCCAAAAAGCCGGUCUCAGUUCGGAUUGGGGUCUGCAACUCGACCCCAUGAAGUCGGAGUCGCUAGUAAUCGCAGAUCAGCAACGCUGCGGUGAAUACGUUCCCGGGCCUUGUACACACCGCCCGUCAAGUCACGAAAGUUGGUAACACCCGAAGCCGGUGGCCUAACCCUGUGGGGGGAGCCG
rnacentral:rRNA from 1 species